CCUGCCCCUAGAAGCAUUGAAGGUGUGGCUACUGUGUCACAUAUGUGCCAGUAAGUGACAGAGAGGAGACUAUGUCUGUGCUCAGUGGUCUGACCUAUGAACAUCCAAAUGGUUAGUAACCUAACAUU